GAUCCUGGAUCAGAACGAACGCUGGCGGCAGGCCUAACACAUGCAAGUCGAGCGCACCUUCGGGUGAGCGGCGGACGGGUUGGUAACGCGUGGGAACAUACCCUUUUCUACGGAAUAGCCUCGGGAAACUGAGGGUAAUACCGUAUAAGCCCUUCGGGGGAAAGAUUUAUCGGGAAAGGAUUGGCCCGCGUUAGAUUAGAUAGUUGGUGGGGUAAUGGCCUACCAAGUCUACGAUCUAUAGCUGGUUUUAGAGGAUGAUCAGCAACACUGGGACUGAGACACGGCCCAGACUCCUACGGGAGGCAGCAGUGGGGAAUCUUAGACAAUGGGCGCAAGCCUGAUCUAGCCAUGCCGCGUGUGUGAUGAAGGUCUUAGGAUCGUAAAGCACUUUCGCCAGGGAUGAUAAUGACAGUACCUGGUAAAGAAACCCCGGCUAACUCCGUGCCAGCAGCCGCGGUAAUACGGAGGGGGUUAGCGUUGUUCGGAAUUACUGGGCGUAAAGCGUACGUAGGCGGAUUGGAAAGUUGGGGGUGAAAUCCCAGGGCUCAACCCUGGAACUGCCUCCAAAACUAUCAGUCUAGAGUUCGAGAGAGGUGAGUGGAAUUCCAAGUGUAGAGGUGAAAUUCGUAGAUAUUUGGAGGAACACCAGUGGCGAAGGCGGCUCACUGGCUCGAUACUGACGCUGAGGUACGAAAGUGUGGGGAGCAAACAGGAUUAGAUACCCUGGUAGUCCACACCGUAAACGAUGAAUGCCAGUCGUCGGGCAGUAUACUGUUCGGGGACACACCUAACGGAUUAAGCAUUCCNGCUGGGGAGUACGGUCGCAAGAUUAAAACUCAAAGGAUUUGACGGGGGGCCGCACAAGCGGUGGAGCAUGUGGUUUAUUUCGAGCAACGCGCAGAACCUUACAACCCUUGACAUCCUGGGCUAACCGGAGAGAUCGGGGGGUCACUUCGGUGACGCAGUGAACGGGUGCUGCAGGGCUGUCGGCAGCCUCGUGGUCGGAGAGUCGUCGGGUAAAGUCCGGCAACGAGGGGCACCCC
rnacentral:rRNA from 1 species